AGGUUUCCGUAGGUGAACCUGCGGAAGGAUCAUUAAUGAAAUUAUAAUCCGGCGAGGGGAAAGGCGGAGAGUUGUAGCUGGCCUCUAGGGGCAUGUGCACGCUGUCUUCCCGACCUUUCGCCGUAUGGGCGCGGGGCGACCCGCGUCUUCAUAUACCUCUUCGUGUAGAAAGUCUUUGAAUGUUAUACGAUCAUCGAGUCGCGACUUCUAGGAGACGCGAUUCUUUGAGACAAAAGUUAUUACAACUUUCAGCAACGGAUCUCUUGGCUCUCGCAUCGAUGAAGAACGCAGCGAAUCGCGAUAUGUAAUGUGAAUUGCAGAUCUACAGUGAAUCAUCGAAUCUUUGAACGCACCUUGCGCUCCUCGGUGUUCCGAGGAGCAUGCCUGUUUGAGUGUCAGUAAAUUCUCAACCCCUCUCGAUUAGCUUCGAGCGGGUGCUUGGAUGUUGGAGGCUGCCGGAGACACUGGAUUCGUCCAGGACUCGGGCUCCUCUUAAAUGAAUCGGCUCGCGGUCGACUUUCGACUUUGCAUGACAAGGCCUUUGGCGUGAUAAUGAUCGCCGUUCGCGAAGUGCACGACAGAAUGGUCCCGUGCCUCUAAUGCGUCGACGCCUCUCCGGGGGCGUCUUCCUCAUGACGUUGACC
rnacentral:rRNA from 1 species